rnacentral:tRNA from 1 species
CAAAAUGUAGCUUAACAAAAGCCUCUCGCUUACACCGAGAAAAUGUCCGUUUAACCCGAACCGUUUUGA